AGACUUUGAUUCUGGCUCAGGAUGAACGCUGGCGGCGUGCUUAACACAUGCAAGUCGAACGAAGCACUUUAACUUGAUUCUUCGGAUGAAGGUUUUUGUGACUGAGUGGCGGACGGGUGAGUAACGCGUGGGUAACCUGCCUCGUACAGGGGGAUAACAGUUAGAAAUGGCUGCUAAUACCGCAUAAGACCACGGAGCCGCAUGGCUCAGUGGGAAAAACUCCGGUGGUAUGAGAUGGACCCGCGUCUGAUUAGGUAGUUGGUGGGGCAACGGCCUACCAAGCCAACGAUCAGUAGCCGACCUGAGAGGGUGACCGGCCACAUUGGGACUGAGACACGGCCCAAACUCCUACGGGAGGCAGCAGUGGGGAAUAUUGCACAAUGGGGGAAACCCUGAUGCAGCGACGCCGCGUGAGCGAAGAAGUAUUUCGGUAUGUAAAGCUCUAUCAGCAGGGAAGAAAAUGACGGUACCUGACUAAGAAGCACCGGCUAAAUACGUGCCAGCAGCCGCGGUAAUACGUAUGGUGCAAGCGUUAUCCGGAUUUACUGGGUGUAAAGGGAGCGUAGACGGCUGUGUAAGUCUGAAGUGAAAGCCCGGGGCUCAACCCCGGGACUGCUUUGGAAACUAUGCAGCUAGAGUGUCGGAGAGGUAAGUGGAAUUCCCAGUGUAGCGGUGAAAUGCGUAGAUAUUGGGAGGAACACCAGUGGCGAAGGCGGCUUACUGGACGAUGACUGACGUUGAGGCUCGAAAGCGUGGGGAGCAAACAGGAUUAGAUACCCUGGUAGUCCACGCCGUAAACGAUGACUACUAGGUGUCGGGGGGCAAAGCUCUUCGGUGCCGCAGCAAACGCAAUAAGUAGUCCACCUGGGGAGUACGUUCGCAAGAAUGCA
rnacentral:rRNA from 2 species